rnacentral:rRNA from 1 species
GGGAGGUAGUGACAAUAAAUAACAAUACAGGGUUCUUUUGGAUCUUGUAAUUGGAAUGAGUACAAUUUAAAUCUCUUAACGAGGAACAAUUGGAGGGCAAGUCUGGUGCCAGCAGCCGCGGUAAUUCCAGCUCCAAUAGCGUAUAUUAAAGUUGUUGCAGUUAAAAAGCUCGUAGUUGAAUUUCGGGAUCAAUAUUUCGGUCAUGCCGUUGGUAUGCACUGUUAUCAUUGAUUUCUCACCUUCUAAAGAACCGUAAUGCCAUUAAUUUGGUGUUACGGGGAAUUAGGACUGUUACCUUGAAAAAAUUAGAGUGUUUAAAGCAGGCUCACGCUUGAAUACAUUAGCAUGGAAUAAUGAAAUAGGACAUCCGAUUCUAUUUUGUUGGUUUCUAGGAUCGAUGUAAUGAUUAAUAGGGAUAGUUGGG